rfam:Deltaproteobacteria bacterium RIFOXYD12_FTLL_50_9 rifoxyd3_full_scaffold_2522, whole genome shotgun sequence.
GAUUUCGCGAGGAAUCGUCCGAAGGAAGCUGGAGCGCAAAGCUAUGAGUCGACGUACAGAAAUGGCAUAUAAGGCCAAGUCUCCGGGUAAGUCAGCAUUUAUGCCCCCUUGUGGGGUACAACAUGACAAAGCCCUGGGUUUAGGAGAUACGGUAAAUGCCGCGAUUGCAUAGCGACAGAUCACGUC